UAACACAUGCAAGUCGAACGGAGCUAUUUAUUUCGGUAGAUAGCUUAGUGGCAAACGGGUGAGUAACGCGUAGGCAACCUGCCCUCGGGAUGGGGACAACGGCUCGAAAGAGCCGCUAAUACCGAAUGACGUAUCUCUCUCACAUGGGAAGGAUACUAAAGAUGGGUCAAACCAUCGCCCGAGGAUGGGCCUGCGUCUGAUUAGCCAGUUGGUGAGGUAACGGCUCACCAAAGCAACGAUCAGUAGCCGGUCUGAGAGGAUGAACGGCCACAAUGGGACUGAGACACGGCCCAUACUCCUACGGGAGGCAGCAGUGGGGAAUCUUCCGCAAUGGGCGAAAGCCUGACGGAGCAACGCCGCGUGAGUGAAGAAGGUCUUCGGAUCGUAAAGCUCUGUUGUCGGGGACGAAAGGCAAGGGGAGGCAAUGC
rnacentral:rRNA from 1 species